UACGUAGGGUGCAAGCGUUGUCCGGAAUUAUUGGGCGUAAAGAGCUUGUAGGCGGUUUGUCGCGUCUGCUGUGAAAUUUCGGGGCUCAACCCCGAACUUGCAGUGGGUACGGGCAGACUAGAGUGUGGUAGGGGAGACUGGAAUUCCUGGUGUAGCGGUGAAAUGCGCAGAUAUCAGGAGGAACACCGAUGGCGAAGGCGGGUCUCUGGGCCGAUACUGACGCUGAGACGCGAAAGCGUGGGGAGCGAACAGG
rnacentral:rRNA from 1 species